UACGGGGGGGGCAAGCGUUGUUCGGAAUUACUGGGCGUAAAGGGCUCGUAGGCGGCCAACUAAGUCAGACGUGAAAUCCCUCGGCUUAACCGGGGAACUGCAUCUGAUACUGGAUGGCUUGAGUUCGGGAGAGGGAUGCGAAAUUCCAGGUGUAGCGGUGAAAUGCGUAGAUAUCUGGAGGAACACCGGUGGCGAAGGCGGCAUCCUGGACCGACACUGACGCUGAGGAGCGAAAGCCAGGGGAGCAAACGGG
rnacentral:rRNA from 1 species